rnacentral:rRNA from 1 species
AUUGAACGCUGGCGGCAUGCUUUACACAUGCAAGUCGAACGGUAACAGGUUAAGCUGACGAGUGGCGAACGGGUGAGUAAUGUAUCGGAACGUGCCCAGUCGUGGGGGAUAACGUAGCGAAAGCUACGCUAAUACCGCAUACGAUCUAUGGAUGAAAGCGGGGGACCGUAAGGCCUCGCGCGAUUGGAGCGGCCGAUAUCAGAUUAGGUAGUUGGUGGGGUAAAGGCCCACCAAGCCAACGAUCUGUAGCUGGUCUGAGAGGACGACCAGCCACACUGGGACUGAGACACGGCCCAGACUCCUACGGGAGGCAGCAGUGGGAAUUUUGGACAAUGGGGGCAACCCUGAUCCAGCAAUGCCGCGUGCAGGAAGAAGGCCUUCGGGUUGUAAACUGCUUUUGUACGGAACGAAAAGGCUCUGGUUAAUACCUGGGGUUUAUGACGGUACCGUAAGAAUAAGCACCGGCUAACUACGUGCCAGCAGCCGCGGUAA